rnacentral:rRNA from 1 species
GCGAUCAUACCAGCACUAAUGCACCGGAUCCCAUCAGAACUCCGAAGUCAAGCGUGCUUGGGCGAGAGUAGUACUAGGAUGGGUGACCCCCUGGGAAGUCCUCGUGUUGCACCCC